GACGAACGCUGGCGGCGUGCUUAACACAUGCAAGUCGAACGGAAAGGCCCUGCUUUUGUGGGGUGCUCGAGUGGCGAACGGGUGAGUAACACGUGAGUAACCUGCCCUUGACUUUGGGAUAACUUCAGGAAACUGGGGCUAAUACCGGAUAGGAGCUCCUGCUGCAUGGUGGGGGUUGGAAAGUUUCGGCGGUUGGGGAUGGACUCGCGGCUUAUCAGCUUGUUGGUGGGGUAGUGGCUUACCAAGGCUUUGACGGGUAGCCGGCCUGAGAGGGUGACCGGCCAAAUUGGGACUGAGAUACGGCCCAGACUCCUACGGGAGGCAGGAGUGGGGAAUAUUGCCCCAUGGGCGGAAGCCUGAUGCAGGCACGCCGCGUGCGGGAUGACGGCCUUCGGGUUGUAAACCGCUUUCGCCUGUGACGAAGCGUGAGUGACGGUAAUGGGUAAAGAAGCACCGGCUAACUACGUG
rnacentral:rRNA from 1 species